UUAUGUGCAUGCUCUGCUUGCCGCUGUGCAAUAAAUAAAUAAAUGAGUGAGUAUUUUGGAAUUAGUCAUCAAUAAUACGUCAACGAAAUAUUUUUUUAAACGUAAGAUACCAUGAGAACCCCAUGCAUUUGGGCAUCGUCGCCAUAGUAAAAAAAUAUCAUCUUGCCUAGAUCUAUCAAUUGCGCUACAUUUCAUUCUUGUUGAUAGGUGGGGACGAUUCCGCCCAUAGUCCUUUACAUUAUAUAUUUUUG